rnacentral:rRNA from 1 species
AGAGUUUGAUCCUGGCUCAGGAUGAACGCUAGCUACAGGCUUAACACAUGCAAGUCGNGGGGAAACGAUAUUGGAAGCUUGCUUCCGAUAGGCGUCGACCGGCGCACGGGUGAGUAACGCGUAUCCAACCUGCCCACCACUUGGGGAUAACCUUGCGAAAGUAAGACUAAUACCCAAUGAUAUCUCUAGAAGACAUCUGAAAGAGAUUAAAGAUUUAUCGGUGAUGGAUGGGGAUGCGUCUGAUUAGCUUGUUGGCGGGGUAACGGCCCACCAAGGCGACAAUCAGUAGGGGUUCUGAGAGGAAGGUCCCCCACAUUGGAACUGAGACACGGUCCAAACUCCUACGGGAGGCAGCA